UACGUAGGUGGCAAGCGUUGUCCGGAUUUACUGGGCGUAAAGGAUGCGUAGGCGGACAUUUAAGUCAGAUGUGAAAUACCCGAGCUUAACUUGGGUGCUGCAUUUGAAACUGGGUGUCUAGAGUGCAGGAGAGGUAAGUGGAAUUCCUAGUGUAGCGGAUGAAUGCGUAGAAGAUUAGGAAGAACACAGUGGCGAAGGCGACUUCUGGACUGUAACUGACGCUGAGGCAUGAAAGCGUGGGGGAGCAAACAGG
rnacentral:rRNA from 1 species